UCUGGUUGAUCCUGCCGGAGGCCACUGCUAUCGGGGUUCGAUUAAGCCAUGCGAGUCGAGAGGUGCAAGACCUCGGCAUACUGCUCAGUAACACGUGGACAACCUACCCUAAGGAGGGGGAUAACCCCGGAAAACUGGGGAUAAUACCCCAUAGACUACAGAAGCUGGAAUGCUCUGUAAUUGAAAGGUCCGCCGCCUUAGGAUGGGUCUGCGGCUGAUUAGGUUGUUGUUGGGGUAACGGCCCAACAAGCCUGUAAUCAGUACGGGUUGUGGGAGCAAGAACCCGGAGAUGGAUUCUGAGACACGAAUCCAGGCCCUACGGGGCGCAGCAGGCGCGAAAACUUUACAAUGCGGGAAACCGUGAUAAGGGAACCCCGAGUGCCCGUAAAUUCGGGCUGUUAACCUGUUUAAAAAGCAGGUGGAGAAAGGGCCGGGCAAGACCGGUGCCAGCCGCCGCGGUAAUACCGGCGGCUCGAGUGGUGGCCACUAUUACUGGGCUUAAAGCGUCCGUAGCUGGAUUGUUAAGUCUCUUGGGAAAUCUACCGGCUUAACCGAUAGGCGUUCAAGGGAUACUGGCAAUCUAGGGACCGGGAGAGGUGAGAGGUACUCCAGGGGUAGGAGUGAAAUCCUGUAAUCCUUGGGGGACCACCUGUGGCGAAGGCGUCUCACCAGAACGGCUCCGACAGUGAGGGACGAAAGCUGGGGGAGCAAACCGGAUUAGAUACCCGGGUAGUCCCAGCUGUAAACGAUGCGCGUUAGGUGUAUCGGUGACCACGAGUCACCGAGGUGCCGAAGAGAAAUCGUGAAACGUGCCGCCUGGGAAGUACGGUCGCAAGGCUGAAACUUAAAGGAAUUGGCGGGGGAGCACCACAACGGGUGGAGCCUGCGGUUUAAUCGGACUCAACGCCGGAAAGCUCACCAGAUAAGACAGCGGAAUGAUAGCCGGGCUGAAGACUCUGCUUGACUAGCUGAGAGGAGGUGCAUGGCCGUCGUCAGUUCGUACUGUGAAGCAUCCUGUUAAGUCAGGCAACGAGCGAGACCCA
rnacentral:rRNA from 1 species